rnacentral:lncRNA from 1 species
CCUGCUGCCCAGGCCCCAGGCUCUGCUCAGAAACCUGGAGCCCGUGCCGGGUGGGAACACAGAAGCAUCGUGGCCUCGCUGUACUGCCACCCACGCUGUCCUCGGCAGCUGGGGCUGGGCACAGACUUCUCUGAGGGGCUUUCCUGCCUGCCAGCCUCCCCUCCGGGUGGCCCCCAAUGGAGGGCUUGGACAGGCAAGCCCAGGGUUUCUCUAUGUAGUUCCGGCUGGCCUUGAACUCACUGUGUAGCCCAGGCUGGGCUCAACCUUGCGGCAACCCUCCUGCCUCAGCCUCUCAAGUGCUGGGAUCACAGGUGUGCACCACCGUGCCCACCAUUAGCCAGUUUUUUAAAGACUUCAUUUGGUUUUGUUUUUUAAAUCCCAAGAUCUCGAAGUUUUUACAGCAUAGGGUGUCCUGGCUACAGGCGGUGUUUGGGGACCCCCCCGCAGCCUCCUGGGCUUCCUGAUUCGCCAGGCCUGGCACCUCCUUUCUCCUACACCGAGAGAGCCCUGGCUUUAGGCUCACUGUGUUGCUGCCGUGAAAUGAGUUUCUUUGUCAUGGGAGCAGCAGCAAGACGAUCAGCGGUGUCCGCCUGCUUUUCGGGGCUGGGUUUGCGCCCAAGGGGUCAGUCGGCCGGGCUUUACAGAGUGUCCGGCUGUGGGAUUGAAG